UACGUAGGGUGCGAGCGUUGUCCGGAAUUAUUGGGCGUAAAGAGCUCGUAGGCGGUGUGUCGCGUCGGCCGUGAAAACCUGGGGCUUAACUCUGGGCGUGCGGUCGAUACGGGCAUCACUAGAGUUCGGCAGGGGAGACUGGAAUUCCUGGUGUAGCGGUGAAAUGCGCAGAUAUCAGGAGGAACACCGGUGGCGAAGGCGGGUCUCUGGGCAUUACCUGACGCUGAGGAGCGAAAGUGUGGGGAGCGAACAGG
rnacentral:rRNA from 1 species